CCAGCUUGCUGGGUGGAUUAGUGGCGAACGGGUGAGUAACACGUGAGUAACCUGCCCUUAACUCUGGGAUAAGCCUGGGAAACUAGGUCUAAUACCGGAUAGGAGCGCCUACCGCAUGGUGGGUGUUGGAAAGAUUUAUCGGUUUUGGAUGGACUCGCGGCCUAUCAGCUUGUUGGUGAGGUAAUGGCUCACCAAGGCGACGACGGGUAGCCGGCCUGAGAGGGUGACCGGCCACACUGGGACUGAGACACGGCCCAGACUCCUACGGGAGGCAGCAGUGGGGAAUAUUGCACAAUGGGCGAAAGCCUGAUGCAGCGACGCCGCGUGAGGGAUGACGGCCUUCGGGUUGUAAACCUCUUUCAGUAGGGAAGAAGCGAAAGUGACGGUACCUGCAGAAGAAGCACCGGCUAACUACGUGCCAGCAGCCGCGGUAAUACGUAGGGUGCGAGCGUUAUCCGGAAUUAUUGGGCGUAAAGAGCUCGUAGGCGGUUUGUCGCGUCUGUCGUGAAAGUCCGGGGCUUAACCCCGGAUCUGCGGUGGGUACGGGCAGACUAGAGUGCAGUAGGGGAGACUGGAAUUCCUGGUGUAGCGGUGGAAUGCGCAGAUAUCAGGAGGAACACCGAUGGCGAAGGCAGGUCUCUGGGCUGUAACUGACGCUGAGGAGCGAAAGCAUGGGGAGCGAACAGGAUUAGAUACCCUGGUAGUCCAUGCCGUAAACGUUGGGCACUAGGUGUGGGGACCAUUCCACGGUUUCCGCGCCGCAGCUAACGCAUUAAGUGCCCCGCCUGGGGAGUACGGCCGCAAGGCUAAAACUCAAAGGAAUUGACGGGGGCCCGCACAAGCGGCGGAGCAUGCGGAUUAAUUCGAUGCAACGCGAAGAACCUUACCAAGGCUUGACAUGUUCUCGAUCGCCGUAGAGAUACGGUUUCCCCUUUGGGGCGGGUUCACAGGUGGUGCAUGGUUGUCGUCAGCUCGUGUCGUGAGAUGUUGGGUUAAGUCCCGCAACGAGCGCAACCCUCGUUCCAUGUUGCCAGCACGUAAUGGUGGG
rnacentral:rRNA from 1 species